rnacentral:rRNA from 1 species
CAGUAGCCGCGGGAAUACGAAGGGGGCUAGCGUUGUUCGGAUUUACUGGGCGUAAAGGGCGCGUAGGCGGACUGAUAAGUCAGGGGUGAAAUCCCAAGGCUCAACCUUGGAACUGCCUUUGAUACUGUUUGUCUUGAGUUCGAGAGAGGUAAGUGGAACUGCGAGUGUAGAGGUGAAAUUCGUAGAUAUUCGCAAGAACACCAGUGGCGAAGGCGGCUUACUGGCUCGAUACUGACGCUGAGGCGCGAAAGCGUGGGGAGCAAACAGGAUUAGAUACCCCCGUAGUCCCUGUCUCUUAUAC